GAAAUGCGAUAAGUAAUGUGAAUUGCAGAAUUCAGUGAAUCAUCGAAUCUUUGAACGCACCUUGCGCUCCUUGGUAUUCCUUGGAGCAUGCCUGUUUGAGUAUCAUGAAAUCUUCAAAGUAAAUCUUUUGUUAACUCAAUUGGUUUCUACUUUGGUAUUGGAGGUCUUUGCAGCUUCACACCUGCUCCUCUUUGUUCAUUAGCUGGAUCUCAGUGUUAUGCUUGGUUCCACUCGGCGUGAUAAGUUAUCUAUCGCUGAGGACACUGUAAAAGGUGGCCAAGGUAAAUGCAGAUGAACCGCUUCUAAUAGUCCAUUGACUUGGACAAUACUUUUAUGAUCUGAUCUCAAAUCAGGUAGGACUACCCGCUGAACUUA
rnacentral:misc_RNA from 1 species